CUCAGGUGCGCAGGCGGCCGUGAACUCGGCUACGCAAACAAUCACAGGCGUACCGAAGACCUUUCACAGGAGCGAAUACGUGGCGGGAUUCACAGGACUACAAACGGAAACCCGCGAAAACGAAUAUCAAUGCUGGGAGCAACCGAUGGCUCGAAAAGGAGGCUGGGGCAUCUUGUUUCGGGCCUCAGUGGAUUCCCUGUUUCCUACAUGGCAACUGCAGCGGCUGCACGUCUACCGAUAACUUACACGUGCGCUACUGCGACACGCCCCUUUGAUAAGAGCUUAUAUACCGCGGCACCGAGCGUAACCGGUGCACUUCUUCCCAGCUUAUCACAGCCGGCGGCCCAGCUGUGCUGGCGCUCGCCAGUCACCUUGUCAAUCGAAUAAAGCAAUUCCCUUUGCGUACUUUCCCUGCAACCGCCUGGUUCCUGCCUGCCUGGAAGAACACCACAUAUUGGCGACGAGAAUCAACGCAUCGACAGCGGGACCCUGCAGCUAAGUUGGCA